GAUGAACGCUGACAGAAUGCCUAACACAUGCAAGUCAACUUGAAUUUGGGUUUUUAACUUAGGUUUGGGUGGCGGACGGGUGAGUAACGCGUAAAGAACUUGCCUCACAGCUAGGGACAACAUUUGGAAACGAAUGCUAAUACCUAAUAUUAUGAUAAUAGGGCAUCCUAUAAUUAUGAAAGCUAUAAGCGCUGUGAGAGAGCUUUGCGUCCCAUUAGCUAGUUGGAGAGGUAACGGCUCACCAAGGCGAUGAUGGGUAGCCGGCCUGAGAGGGUGAUCGGCCACAAGGGGACUGAGACACGGCCCUUACUCCUACGGGAGGCAGCAGUGGGGAAUAUUGGACAAUGGACCAAGAGUCUGAUCCAGCAAUUCUGUGUGCACGAUGAAGUUUUUCGGAAUGUAAAGUGCUUUCAGUUGGGAAGAAAGAAAUGACGGUACCAACAGAAGAAGUGACGGCUAAAUACGUG
rnacentral:rRNA from 1 species